rnacentral:rRNA from 1 species
UAUUGCACAAUGGGGGAAACCCUGAUGCAGCGACGCCGCGUGAGUGAAGAAGUAUUUCGGUAUGUAAAGCUCUAUCAGCAGGGAAGAAAGAAAUGACAGUACCUGACUAGGAAGCCCCGGCUAGCUACGUGCCAGCAGCCGCGGUAAUACGUAGGGGGCAAGCGUUAUCCGGAUUUACUGGGUGUAAAGGGAGCGUAGGCGGCUUAGUAAGUCAGAAGUGAAAGCCCGCAGCUCAACUGCGGGACUGCUUUUGAAACUGCCAGGCUAGAGUGUCGGAGAGGUAAGUGGGAUUCCUAGUGUAGCGGUGAAAUGCGUAGAUAUUAGGAGGAACACCAGUGGCGAAGGCGGCUUACUGGACGAUGACUGACGCUGAGGCUCGAAAGCGUGGGGAGCAAACAGGA